UACUCCAUGCCCUGUCUAGAGUGCUGGAGGGCAGUGGACGUGAGCCACAGAGUGCCUUACCUUACCCGUGCCAUGGAACCUCCUCUGCUUCCAUCUCCCCACCCUAUGCUUCUCACAGUUCGCUGACAGAAAGUCUAGCAUCCUUCGUCAACAUACGUGUUCCCGUCUCCUGUUGUUGAAGCAAUAACGAGGCUUCAUGAAAACCAUUGUAGACAUGGAAUCAUCUCUUGUGUGGCAAUAUCUUGUGUUGUGUGCCCAGUACCCGCACUCUUGACUGGUCACCCUACAACUCUGGGCUGGCUUGUACAUCGUGGAUAUGUGUACGAGACAGGUCAGGGUUGGAAAACAAGCAGCGGUUCUCAUCACAGUCAAGCUUACUGAUGAGCUGUAGAUCAGAAGGAUAUUUUGGCCUGGAGCCCGUGUAACUU